rnacentral:rRNA from 1 species
UACGUAGGGGGCAAGCGUUGUCCGGAAUUAUUGGGCGUAAAGAGCGUGUAGGCGGUCCGGUAAGUCAGCUGUGAAAGUCAAGGGCUCAACCCUUGAAAGCCGGUUGAUACUGUCGGGCUAGAGUCCGGAAGAGGCGAGUGGAAUUCCCGGUGUAGCGGUGAAAUGCGCAGAUAUCGGGAGGAGCACUAAUGGCGAAGGCAGCUCGCUGGGACGGUACUGACGCUGAGACGCGAAAGCGUGGGGAGCAAACAGG